AGUCGAGCGGUAGAGAGGUGCUUGCACCUCUUGAGAGCGGCGGACGGGUGAGUAAAGCCUAGGAAUCUGCCUGGUAGUGGGGGAUAACGCUCGGAAACGGACGCUAAUACCGCAUACGUCCUACGGGAGAAAGCAGGGGACCUUCGGGCCUUGCGCUAUCAGAUGAGCCUAGGUCGGAUUAGCUAGUUGGUGAGGUAAUGGCUCACCAAGGCGACGAUCCGUAACUGGUCUGAGAGGAUGAUCAGUCACACUGGAACUGAGACACGGUCCAGACUCCUACGGGAGGCAGCAGUGGGGAAUAUUGGACAAUGGGCGAAAGCCUGAUCCAGCCAUGCCGCGUGUGUGAAGAAGGUCUUCGGAUUGUAAAGCACUUUAAGUUGGGAGGAAGGGCAUUAACCUAAUACGUUAGUGUUUUGACGUUACCGACAGAAUAAGCACCGGCUAACUCUGUGCCAGCAGCCGCGGUAAUACAGAGGGUGCAAGCGUUAAUCGGAAUUACUGGGCGUAAAGCGCGCGUAGGUGGUUCGUUAAGUUGGAUGUGAAAUCCCCGGGCUCAACCUGGGAACUGCAUUCAAAACUGUCGAGCUAGAGUAUGGUAGAGGGUGGUGGAAUUUCCUGUGUAGCGGUGAAAUGCGUAGAUAUAGGAAGGAACACCAGU
rnacentral:rRNA from 1 species